UGGCAAAAAGAUACAAAACUAUGGGAUCC
rnacentral:piRNA from 1 species